GCUAUAAAAAAACGAUGGCAGCUUCGUUCAGACAGGUACAGCACACACAUACAUACAGGUACAGCACGCACGUACAUACAGGUACAGCACGCACAUACAUACAGGUACAGCACGCACGUACAUACAGGUACAGCACGCACGUACAUACAGGUACAGCACGCACGUACAUACAGGUACAGCACGCACGUAAAUACAGGUACAGCACGCACG